rnacentral:rRNA from 1 species
GAUGAACGCUAGCGGGAGGCUUAACACAUGCAAGUCGAGGGGUAGGGAAGCAAUUCCUGAGACCGGCGGACGGGUGCGUAACGCGUAUGCAACCUGCCUUAUACAGGGGGAUAGCCCAUGGAAACGUGGAUUAACACCCCAUAGGAUUACGGGAUCGCAUGAUUUUGUGAUUAAAACUGAGGUGGUAUAAGAUGGGCAUGCGUCUGAUUAGGUAGUUGGUAGGGUAAUGGCCUACCAAGCCGACGAUCAGUAAGGGUUCUGAGAGGAUUACCCCCCACACUGGUACUGAGACACGGACCAGACUCCUACGGGAGGCAGCAGUGAGGAAUAUUGGUCAAUGGCCGGAAGGCUGAACCAGCCAUCCCGCGUGCAGGAUGACGGCCCUAUGGGUUGUAAACUGCCUUUGUACCUGAAGAAUAGGCCCAACGAGUUGGGAUUUGCCGGUAAGGUAUGAAUAAGCAUCGGCUAACUCCGUGCCAGCAGCCGCCGCCGUAA